GUAGCGUUCAGAAGGAACCGUGUGGACUGCUCUGGUCAGGGUAGCGUUCAGAAGGAACCGUGUGGACUGCUCUGGUCAGGGUAGCGUUCAGAAGGAACCGUGUGGACUGCUCUGGUCAGGGUAGCGUUCAGAAGGAACCUGUGGACUGCUCUGGUCAGGGUAGCGUUCAGAAGGAACCGUGUGGACUGCUCUGGUCAGGGUAGCGUUCAGAAGGAACCGUGUGUGGACUGCUCUGGUCAGGGUAGCGUUCAGAAGGAACCGUGUGGACUGCUCUGGUCAGGGUUUUGUUGGAACAAAUGGGAGAAGACGUUUUGAAAGCGUUUUCCUACUGUGUUCCUUCUGAAGGCGACAGGUGUGUGAGGGAGUGGCCUGAGAGGGAGGCUGUAUUCCAUCAUCCACACUAGAACACUACCCCAUGUGCUACACUUAGGAUGCACAUCGUUUCCUUCUAAGUGGUACUCUAGUAUGGAUAUUGGAACGUAGCCUGAGUGAGUGAGUGAGUGAGUGUGUUUGUGUGGCGAGAGCAUCUGAUUGGAGAUAGGGAAGGAUGAAAGGAGGCUUAAUGGAUAACAGCUGAGUCUAAUCGCUUAGUGAUGUCUAGCAGAGAUAUGGAAGAUGAAGAAUAGAUUGGAUUGGGUUUAGGGUUGUCAUAGUUAUUUUUAGUGUGAACACUGUAAACGUUGAACUCUGUGACCCUGAGAAUAAAUAUAAAUAUGAGGAAUAAAAAUUGAUAUUCACAA